rnacentral:rRNA from 1 species
UACGGGGGGGGCAAGCGUUGUUCGGAAUCACUGGGCGUAAAGCGCACGUAGGCGGCUUUUUAAGUCAGGGGUGAAAUCCUGGAGCUCAACUCCAGAACUGCCUUUGAUACUGAGAGCUUGAGUCCGGGAGAGGUGAGUGGAACUGCGAGUGUAGAGGUGAAAUUCGUAGAUAUUCGCAAGAACACCAGUGGCGAAGGCGGCUCACUGGCCCGGUACUGACGCUGAGGUGCGAAAGCGUGGGGAGCAAACAGG